UCUCAUCAAUCUGCGUAUAAAUAACACGACUUUACACUUUCUAGUUGCGUGUAAUGCAUAUGCCAAAUGACUAUUUUGCGUGCAUAUGAUACGCCAAUCCUUCACAAUAAUUUAGGUGGAGAGCAAAUGCGUCCAAAUACCACGCAUCAUUUUCAGCGGCAGUGACAUCACCAGCGAGGCUCUUCCAGUUCACCUGAUGCGCGUGCACCUUCAAACAGGUAAGCAAAGGACUUCAACUCCACGCUCCCAAUGCUGAUUUUGAAGAAGCUGUCAAGGGGGCUGAACAAGUCCUUCAAAGGUUCAACCCUUCACAGGAAUGCCUGUCAUGAGAUUUGAAUUUGACCAUCUUUUGCAUUUAUGAAGAAGACCAAAAGCUGCAAAGGCAAACACUUCCAAUGG